rnacentral:rRNA from 1 species
GACGAACGCUGGCGGCGUGCUUAACACAUGCAAGUCGAACGGUGAAGCGAGUGCUUGCACUCGUGGAUCAGUGGCGAACGGGUGAGUAACACGUGAGUAACCUGCCCAUCACUCUGGGAUAAGCACUGGAAACGGUGUCUAAUACUGGAUACGACCAACCCUUGCAUGGGGCGGUGGGGGAAAGAUUUAUCGGUGGUGGAUGGACUCGCGGCUUAUCAGCUUGUUGGCGGGGUAAUGGCUCACCAAGGCGACGACGGGUAGCCGGCCUGAGAGGGUGACCGGCCACACUGGGACUGAGACACGGCCCAGACUCCUACGGGAGGCAGCAGUGGGGAAUAUUGCACAAUGGGCGAAAGCCUGAUGCAGCGACGCCGCGUGAGGGAUGACGGCCUUCGGGUUGUAAACCUCUUUCAGCAGGGAAGAAGCGAGAGUGACGGUACCUGCAGAAGAAGCACCGGCUAACUACGUG